rnacentral:lncRNA from 1 species
GGCAAGCCGUCGGGGAGUCAGUUCAAGGCUGUGUAAUCCCCAGUAUGGCUGGAGGAGAAAUGCAGCCGGCUUGAGGAGGGUCCUGUUGAGCUGAUUACCAUGAGCCGCCCUAAACCAGAACUGAUCAAGCUCUGCUGGCAGCGUCUUUAGAACUUGGGUGGCCCCAUUCAAAGCUGAAAAAAAAAAUCAACAAAAGGGCAAGGGUGGGGAGAUUUCAUGCACAUCCUUGAAUAAAGGAGUGAUGGUUUUCAAACUC